GACGAACGCUGGCGGCGUGCUUAACACAUGCAAGUCGAACGAAGUGGCGAACGGGUGAGUAACGCGUAAUCAACCUGCCCUUCAGGGGGGGAUAACAGUUGGAAACGACUGCUAAUACCGCAUACGGAAGGAGGGGAUUGCGUCGGAUUGGCUAGUUGGAGGGGUAACGGCCCACCAAGGCGAUGAUCAGUAGCCGGUCGGGGAGGAGGAACGGCCACAAUGGGACUGGGAACCGGGCCAGGACUCCACGGGAGGGAGCAGUGGGGAAUCUUCCGAAAUUGACGAAAGUCUGACGGAGCAACGCCGCGUGAGUUAUGACGGCCUUCGGGUUGUAAAGCUCUGUUAAUCGGGACGCGGUACCGGAAGAGAAAGCCCCGGCUAACUACGUGCCAGCAGCCGCGGUAAUAC
rnacentral:rRNA from 1 species